rnacentral:rRNA from 1 species
CCUACGGGAGGCAGCAGUGGGGAAUAUUGCACAAUGGGCGAAAGCCUGAUGCAGCGACGCCGCGUGAGGGAUGACGGCCUUCGGGUUGUAAACCUCUUUCAGCAGGGAAGAAGCGAAAGUGACGGUACCUGCAGAAGAAGCGCCGGCUAACUACGUGCCAGCAGCCGCGGUAAUACGUAGGGCGCAAGCGUUGUCCGGAAUUAUUGGGCGUAAAGAGCUCGUAGGCGGCUUGUUGCGUCGGUUGUGAAAGCCCGGGGCUUAACCCCGGGUCUGCAGUCGAUACGGGCAGGCUAGAGUGUGGUAGGGGAGAUCGGAAUUCCUGGUGUAGCGGUGAAAUGCGCAGAUAUCAGGAGGAACACCGGUGGCGAAGGCGGAUCUCUGGGCCAUUACUGACGCUGAGGAGCGAAAGCGUGGGGAGCGAACAGGAUUAGAUACCCUGGUAGUCCACGCCGUAAACGUUGGGAACUAGGUGUUGGCGACAUUCCACGUCGUCGGUGCCGCAGCUAACGCAUUAAGUUCCCGCCUGGGGAGUACGGCCGCAAGGCUAAAACUCAAAGGAAUUGACGG